rnacentral:rRNA from 1 species
AGCGAACGCUGGCGGCAGGCCUAACACAUGCAAGUCGAGCGCCCCUCCUUCAGAGGACAGAAGACGGACGACAGAGAACGGAUGAUUCCCCACGUGCCCGACUGGGCGUGCGGAUCCCGAUGCUGUCGCGCCGAGACGGACGAUCUGUCGUCCGUCGUCUGAUGUCUGUCCUCUGAUGGAGGGGAGCGGCAGACGGGAGA